rnacentral:rRNA from 1 species
GACGAACGCUGGCGGCGUGCCUAAUACAUGCAAGUUGAGCGCUGAAGGUUGGUACUUGUACCGACUGGAUGAGCAGCGAACGGGUGAGUAACGCGUGGGGAAUCUGCCUUUGAGCGGGGGACAACAUUUGGAAACGAAUGCUAAUACCGCAUAAAAACUUUAAACACAAGUUUUAAGUUUGAAAGAUGCAAUUGCAUCACUCAAAGAUGAUCCCGCGUUGUAUUAGCUAGUUGGUGAGGUAAAGGCUCACCAAGGCGAUGAUACAUAGCCGACCUGAGAGGGUGAUCGGCCACAUUGGGACUGAGACACGGCCCAAACUCCUACGGGAGGCAGCAGUAGGGAAUCUUCGGCAAUGGACGAAAGUCUGACCGAGCAACGCCGCGGGAGUGAAGAAGGGUGUCGGAUCGUAAAACUCUGUUGGUAGAGAAGAACGUUGGUGAGAGUGGAAAGCUCAUCAAGUGACGGUAACUACACAGAAAGGGACGGCUAACUACGUG